rnacentral:rRNA from 1 species
UACGUAGGUGGCAAGCGUUGUCCGGAAUUAUUGGGCGUAAAGCGCGCGCAGGCGGUCUUUUAAGUCUGAUGUGAAAGCCCACGGCUCAACCGUGGAGGGUCAUUGGAAACUGGAGGACUUGAGUACAGAAGAGGAGAGUGGAAUUCCACGUGUAGCGGUGAAAUGCGUAGAUAUGUGGAGGAACACCAGUGGCGAAGGCGGCUCUCUGGUCUGUAACUGACGCUGAGGCGCGAAAGCGUGGGGAGCAAACAGG